GGUCCAGACUCCUACGGGCGGCCGCAGUGGUGGCUCUUGCACACUGGUGGCAACCCUGCUGCCGCAACGCCGCGUGCCGGAAGACGGUUUUCGGAUUGUACCCUUCUGUUCUUAGUGCCGCAUAAUGACGGUCGCUAAGGAGCCAGCCCCGGCUAACUCCGUGCCAGCAGCCGCGGUAAUACGUCGGUGGCAAGCGUUGUCCGGCAUUACUGGGGGGCCAGGGAGCGCAGGCGGGAAGCCCAGUCAGCUGUUAAAACUGCGGGCUUAACGGGGAGACUGCAGUGGAAACUGGUGGGCGUGAGGGAAGGAGAGGUUGGCGGAAUUCCGAGGGGAGCGGUGAAAUGCGGAGAUAUUCGGAGGAACACCGGUGGCGAAGGCGGCCAACGGGGCGGUAACUGACGCGGAGGCGCGAAAGGGGGGGGAGCAAACAGGAGGAGAGACCCCAGGAA
rnacentral:rRNA from 1 species